UACGUAGGGGGCAAGCGUUGUCCGGAUUCAUUGGGCGUAAAGAGCGUGUAGGCGGCCAGGUAGGUCGGUUGUGAAAACUGGAGGCUCAACCUUCAGAGGUCGACCGAAACCAUCUGGCUAGAGUCCGGGAGAGGAGAGUGGAAUUCCUGGUGUAGCGGUGAAAUGCGCAGAUAUCAGGAAGAACACCCGUGGCGAAAGCGGCUCUCUGGAACGGUACUGACGCUGAGGCGCGAAAGCUAGGGGAGCGAACGGG
rnacentral:rRNA from 1 species